rnacentral:rRNA from 1 species
GAGAUUGGGCUUGACAUCCCACGAACCUGUGAAAGCAGGCCUUCUGGGCAACCAGACAGGGAGACAGGUGGUGCAUGGCUGUCGUCAGCUCGUGUCGUGAGAUGUUGGGUUAAGUCCCGCAACGAGCGCAACCCUCAUCAGGUGUUGCCAUUGGUUCGGCCGGGCACUCUCCUGAAACCGCCGGAGUAAUCCGGUGGAAGGUGGGGAUGACGCCAAGUCUGCAUGCCCCUUACGCCCUGGGCUGCACACGUGCUACAAUGGCCGGUACAAACCGCCGCGAUCCCGCAAGGGGGAGCUAAUCGGAGAAAGCCGGUCUCAGUUCGGAUUGUAGGCUGCAACUCGCCUGCAUGAAGUCGGAAUCGCUAGUAAUCGCGGAUCAGCACGCCGCGGUGAAUACGUUCCCGGGCCUUGUACACACCGCCCGUCACAUCACGAAAGCUGGCUGUACUCGAAGUCGCUGAGA